GUCCUCAGACCAACAGGAAGUCCAGGGACCAGAGACACCUCAGCUCCAGCCCCACGUCAGAGCACUGGUCAGAGGAGUGGUGGAUCUGUUUCCUGAUGUCCAGGAGAACUAUGUAGCAGAACUGAUCCAGACCAAUGACCUGAAAGACCUCAAUGUUAUCUGUAACAUGUUGUUGGAGAACCCAGCCUUCCCUCAGAGAGA